UACGAAGGGGGCGAGCGUUGUUCGGAUUCACUGGGCGUAAAGGGUGCGUAGGCGGUCGGGUAAGUCUGAUGUGAAAUCUCACAGCUUAACUGUGAAACUGCAUUGGAUACUAUUCGGCUAGAGAGUUGGAGGGGGGACUGGAAUUCUUGGUGUAGCAGUGAAAUGCGUAGAUAUCAAGAGGAACACCAGUGGCGAAGGCGAGUCCCUGGACAACUUCUGACGCUGAGGCACGAAAGCUAGGGGAGCAAACAGG
rnacentral:rRNA from 1 species